GCCCAUAUCACGUUGCAACAACGGUUCUCGUACGAUUACCGAAGUUAAGUAACGUCGAGACUGGAUAGUACCUGGAUGGGUGACCGCUUGGGGAUACUAGGUGCUGUAA